GACGAACGCUGGCGGCGUGCUUAACACAUGCAAGUCGAGCGGUAAGGCCCUUUCGGGGGUACGACGAGCGGCGAACGGGUGAGUAACACGUGGGUGACCUGCCCUUAGCUCUGGGAUAAGCCUGGGAAACGUGGGUCUAAUACCGGAUAUGACUCCAUGACGCAUGUUGUGGGGUGGAAAGCCUUGUGCGGCUAGGGAUGGGCCCGCGGCCUAUCAGCUUGUUGGUGGGGUGAUGGCCUACCAAGGCGACGACGGGUAGCCGGCCUGAGAGGGCGACCGGCCACACUGGGACUGAGACACGGCCCAGACUCCUACGGGAGGGCAGCAGUGGGGAAUCUUGCGCAAUGGGCGAAAGCCUGACGCAGCGACGCCGCGUGGGGAUGACGGCCU
rnacentral:rRNA from 1 species